GACGAACGCUGGCGGCGUGCUUAACACAUGCAAGUCGAACGGAAAGGCCCUGCUUUUGUGGGGUGCUCGAGUGGCGAACGGGUGAGUAACACGUGAGUAACCUGCCCUUGACUUUGGGAUAACUUCAGGAAACUGGGGCUAAUACCGGAUAGGAGCUCCUGCUGCAUGGUGGGGGUUGGAAAGUUUCGGCGGUUGGGGAUGGACUCGCGGCUUAUCAGCUUGUUGGUGGGGUAGUGGCUUACCAAGGCUUUGACGGGUAGCCGGCCUGAGAGGGUGACCGGCCACAAUGGGACUGAGAGACGGCCCAGACGCCUACGGGAGGCAGCAGGGGGGAAUAUUGCACAAUGGGCGGAAGCCUGAUGCAGCAACGCCGCGUGCGGGAUGACGGCCUUCGGGUUGUAAACCGCUUUCGCCUGUGACGAAGCGUGAGUGACGGUAAUGGGUAAAGAAGCACCGGCUAACUACGUG
rnacentral:rRNA from 1 species